rnacentral:snoRNA from 1 species
CCCGCAUGAUGAUAUCAUGGCAAGUUGGAUGAUUCAGUCAGACCAAUAUAGUUGUUGUUUCUAGCCAGCUGUUAGAUGGGUAAUCUUGGUGGUGUGGUGGAAUUUUAUUGCACUGCUGUAAGGGCCCAGCCACAGUUAACUUGUCACUUUCAAUAACCUUUUCCCCCCCAAGAGCAGUGGGGCGGGCCAGGUCGGAGAUGACAGACAAUGUGUGGAUGUUUGUUUGUCUUUGUGUUGUAUGAAUGUACAUGGAUCAGCUGGCAAGAGGCUAUAGUCUGUAGUUGGUUUGACAUGUAUGAAUUACAGUCUUUGGUAAACUGAGGGC